rnacentral:lncRNA from 1 species
UGGAGACCUGCUGGUGUCGGGUACAAGCAGUGUUUGGAGUUUGCUGUUUCACAGGAGGGACUUUUGUUGUGGGAGAUGUUGUUUUGGCCUUGGACACCUCCUCUUAACAAGCUCCUUCUCCAGGGAAGCUUUGAAACCCGCCUGAGGUUCUGCAUUGGCUCUGAAUGAAAGGUGUUGUGCGUCUGAAGUGCCCGGCCCAAGAGCUCUCCAGCAAUGCAAACAGGCAGCACACAAAGCCAUUAAAGCUCGAGUGCCUGGCCAUGAUUACCUGGAGACAGUUUGCAGCUGAGUUCUGCAGGAACCGGCUUUGUCUGAAAAACCACCCGCGGCAGGUGGGGAAAGUCCAGCCAUCCACGACUUGUCCUGCAGCCAAGAGGAUCCAGGUCAGUGCUGGGGAGCAGGACUGUGCUGCCACGGGGAUCUCCACACUGCAGCCCUUGCCUGCAGCCACGGCAGGUGGGUUUGGAAGGACAGCAGAGGUGGGAAUCCCUGGCUGCAGUGGGAGAGGGGGGACCCCACUGCUGCUGAGCCAUCCUGCACUGCCUAACACAGAGGGAUCAAACCCAGACAGCGGGAUUAUUCAUUGAGGUGUUUGUUUGAAGUUGAAUGGACAGGAAUCACAUCUCCAAACUGUAAAGAAUGAGCUUUUUAGCCUUUUUCCUUUCCACAAAACAGCAGCAACAUCUCGGCAGGGAUGUCAGGGCGAAUCUGUUUCACUGACAACAAGAUUGUUCUGUCUAGACGGGGAAGCGCCGCCAAACCGAG